rnacentral:rRNA from 1 species
UACAGAGGGUGCGAGCGUUAAUCGGAAUUACUGGGCGUAAAGGGUGCGUAGGUGGUGAUUUAAGUUAGGUGUGAAAGUCCCGGGCUUAACCUGGGGAUUGCGCCUGAUACUGGGUUACUAGAGUAUUGUAGAGGAAAGUGGAAUUUCCGGUGUAGCGGUGAAAUGCGUAGAUAUCGGAAGGAACAUCGGUGGCGAAGGCGACUUUCUGGACAGAUACUGACACUGAGGCACGAAAGCGUGGGGAGCAAACAGG